rnacentral:rRNA from 1 species
AUAUCAAUAAGCGGAGGAAAAGAAACCAACCGGGAUUGCCUCAGUAACGGCGAGUGAAGCGGCAAAAGCUCAAAUUUGAAAUCUGGCUCUUUUUGGGGUCCGAGUUGUAAUUUGAAGAUGGUAUUCUGGUGCUGGUGCAGGCAUAUGUCCCUUGGAACAGGGCGGCAUAGAGGGUGAGACUCCCGUUUUGCUUGGUAGCCAGUGCCGUGUAGAAUGCUUUCGAAGAGUCGAGUUGUUUGGGAAUGCAGCUCUAAGUGGGUGGUAAAUUCCAUCUAAAGCUAAAUAUUGGCGAGAGACCGAUAGCGAACAAGUACAGUGAUGGAAAGAUGAAAAGAACUUUGAAAAGAGAGUGAAAAAGUAC